rnacentral:rRNA from 1 species
CCUACGGGAGGCAGCAGUGAGGAAUAUUGGUCAAUGGACGAGAGUCUGAACCAGCCAAGUAGCGUGAAGGAUGACUGCCCUAUGGGUUGUAAACUUCUUUUAUAUGGGAAUAAAAUGUUCCACGUGUGGGAUUUUGUAUGUACCAUAUGAAUAAGGAUCGGCUAACUCCGUGCCAGCAGCCGCGGUAAUACGGAGGAUCCGAGCGUUAUCCGGAUUUGUUGGGUUUAAAGGGAGCGUAGGUGGAUUGUUAAGUCAGUUGUGAAAGUUUGCGGCUCAACCGUAAAAUUGCAGUUGAAACUGGCAGUCUUGAGUACAGUAGAGGUGGGCGGAAUUCGUGGUGUAGCGGUGAAAUGCUUAGAUAGCACGAAGAACUCCGAUUGCGAAGGCAGCCUACUAAACUGCCACUGACAUUGAUGCUCGAAAGUGUGGGUAUCAAACAGGAUUAGAUACCCGAGUAGUC